UCUGAACCUGUGUUUUAUUUUAAGAUGGAAAAGUUGAAAGAGAAGAAGAAAAUAAGAAUAGCAAUUUUAAAAUUCACAUAUUAUGAAUGCCAUAAAGGGCUUUGAGAGUCAAGAGCAGUUUGCAUCAAGCAGCAGCACAAUGGCACGAAGGAGAGCCUGACCUGGGAGCUGCCCCCGGGGUCCGAAUCCCGGCGUGGCCUCUCACCAGCUGUGCGGCCUAGGCAAGUCAGCCUCUUUGAGUCCUGAUUCCUCACCUGUAAAAUGGAUGUCAUUAUGGUCUCUACCUCAUGUGUCCUCCUGGGGUUCAAACAAGGUGACACACUGAACAUUUAGAACAUUGCAGGCACACAGUGAGCGCUCAAUGCCUGUCGGCAUCCUAUUUCUUCCUGUUUCUGAAAACAUGCCUUUCUUUCCUAGUGGUUCUUCUCACACACUGCAGCUCUCUCUCUUUCUUAAAAAUCCCUGAUGGCGUGGGUGGGGGUGGGAACACGGUGCCUCUCCUGUCCUUCUGCCCUUGUUCCCCAUUCUGUUUGAAGACCCUGGAGGAGCUGUCUGGCGAGGCAGGGAUGGAAACAUCCCAGGCGGGCAGAGUCAGAACCUUUCAGUGGUGAGAGAGGAGAGAAGGGACUUUCCUCGUCUGCCACUGGAUCCCAGUGUCUAGAGCAGUGGGUGAGACCGUGUGGCUGCGGAACAGACGUUUGUUGAAAGGACGGAUGAGAGAACACCGGAACACGCCUUAGAAAGUGCCCAUCAAGUACUUCCUUUUUGCAUGAAGAGUCUGAAGUGGUCUGUGGUUUAUUUCUGCCUCCCUCCUGCCUGCUGCUUUUCCUCCCUGCUGCCCCAUUUCAGUAUCCACAGCUUUGUACGAGUCACUUAGUCUAAAUGUGGUAUCUCUUGGCAAAAUGUGUAUUUUGUACUUGCUCUUCCUUCUGAAGCGACACAUUGCCUGUAGCCCUGUGCCUGCCAACCAUCUUGCUGCUGUCCAUCGGAACUCCUUCCUGCCCAGAUCUGUCUGUCCUGUCCCCUCUUCCUCUGAUGUCCUUCCUGUCAUUGUUCCCCACCUGGCCCUCUCCCAUCCUGUGGUCACAAUGUGGACGAGUUCAUUGCGGUAAAGCCUUUCUGGGCCAGCCUCUCAUGGGGGCAUUUCUCUGUCCCCUGCUUGUGAAUCCUUCUGUUUUCCUUCAAGUACUUACCAUGCAUGCUACGUGUUGAGCACAUGGAGAGUAAGGGGCCAGCACAACAGCGACAAGAUGCUGCGGGAACGGAGCAUGCACGUGAGCUGACUCACUGCUCUCUCUGCCGUGACUUUCACAAGGUACUGUGACUGGGGAGCUUCCAGUGUCUGGUGUUCCGUGGGUGCUCAAUAAGUGCUUGGUGAACGAGUGGAUAAACUAGGGGAGGGUACGAGCAGCCCCAGGCUUGGAGUUGGGGUGGGUGGUUCUACAAGACAGAGGCCCAGAAUCUCACAGAGAAGGCUAAGCAAAGAGAGGCAGACUCCAGGGCAGGGGUGCUCACAACCUUAAGGAAACACAGUUUCCCUGAAAGGUCUGCCUGCAACAUGGGGACCAGCCCACAGCUUUAUCAGAGAUGGACUGGAAGGCUCAGGAGCAGGGACUGAGGCUAAAGCCAUGGACCAGGGCCUGGAGACGGCGAGCCGGACUCUGGCCCAAUGGUGCCCAGUGGGCAGUCCUUGAGACGCUCACUCUGAUGUACUUCUGAGGUUUCUGAGAGUGACUGACGAGUAGGUUCCAGCAGGGGUGUCGCACAGCCUGCCCCCUCGGGGUGCUUCAGGCCGGGUGUGGCCUGCACCUGCAGACACAGCAUAGCUUAGGAAGGCUUCAGCUGGAGCUUUAGCUCUGUUGCUUCAUAACUGUGUGACCUUGGGCAAGUUCUCGACCUCAGGACACCUGGCUUCACCGUCUAGGAAACGAAGAUCAAAAUACCCACCCUCUGUGGCUGUUUAGAAGAUGAAAUGAGAUAAAGUGAAGAGCUUGUCCACUGUUGCUCACACCUGGCAGCACACAGAACAGCCCACGGGGAGUUUUAACAACCCACACAACUGGGCGACGGCUAGAGAUUCCGACCCAGUAAUUCUGGGGUGUGUCCCAGGCAUCCGGGCUUUCCAGAGCUUACAGAUGGUCAAGAAGCUCAGGCGGAGCUGAGCGACCGAGGACUGGUCUAUGAAAGGCAACGAGAAAGGGCGGCUUUCCGUCCACCUCCUCCUCCACGGCCCCGCCUCACCUCCUCGCCCUGUUCACCCUGUUGGGAGGCGUGGGCGUCAGCAGAUUCAUUCCCGAGGCGCUCGGAGAAGCGGAGCAUCAGAGACGACCGAAGGCCGGCAGUGUUCACGCUGGACGCUGAUCCCAGCAAACGGCUGGAGGAACGCAGCAGGAUCGAGGACUCGGGGCUAAGGCUCAGCUUUGAACGUCUUGACAGCAAAUGUGGGGUGUGAGAGACGGCACUGCUGGGACUUGAUUUGCGUGAAAUAACUCUUACACGUGCUUUGCCAGUUUUUCUAUACUUGUAAAAUGACUUUCUGCUAGAGAGCUCUAGACACUCUCAAAUAAAGCACAACCGUUUUUAAAUAAAGGUUGUCGAGUGGGUUAAUUUACUUGAGCAGUGAAAAUUUACCAAGUGCCCCCUGGGCGCAGGCCGCUGGGCUCAGGACCAUGGAGACAGAAUUUCACCCGACAAACGUUUAUUGAGCGCUGCUCCGGGAGUGGGGCUGUAUCAGUGAGAAAACAAGGAGAGACAAAAAUCCCUACCCUUUCGGAGUUUACAUCUAACGGGGAGAGACGGGCAGGGAAAAGUAAACAUGGAGCUUUGGAACCUGGCGUGUGGUUACACCUACAGCACAGCUCAGUCCAGAGCAGCCACACUCCAAGAGCUCAGUGGACGCCUGGGCUAACGGCUGUGGUGCUGGAUGGUGCAGCUUCGGGCAACAGAGGUGCGCGCUGUGAGAGACAGAUUUCCACUUCUGGAAAACAAAAUGACUGCCCGUUUAAAGUAGAAGAGGUGGUUCAGCAGACCAUGCAGGGAAUCAACCACUAUGAAGGACAAGCAUCUUUUAGGAUUUUGGGAUCUGCGUAGCUGGGUCAGUGCUGGGAUGGGGGACAUGAAAGGACCCAGUGCUGUGGUGGGUGCUCCUGGCCCAAUCCUCUUUCUCAGAAGCGUCACUCACCAAUCUUCUCCCAAACUGGCUGUGAGUAUAACAAAGACCUUCUUCCUAGUAUUAACACUAGAUUGGCUUCCCAGGAUCUGAUCUUUACCGUGGGUUUUUCUCCUCAAGAAAUUAGAGAAGCUGCUGAGCCACCGGCAGGUGUUAGGCUGUAACCAGGUCCUGUAGCUCUCUGGAGCCCCAGGCUAAUGAACAGCAGGUCUUCAUGAUGUGUGCUGAGAACCGGGUUAACUCAUUUCCCGGGGUGGCCUGCGGACAGCGUCCUCGUGCUGACGGCAGGGUGCAGAGGCACCCAGGACAGGGGGCCCCCACCCCACCUGUCCAGGUGCCUGUGCUCCUGGGGAGGCUCCUGGCCACUUUGCACCAAAACAUCUUUGCUUCUCCCAAAGGGACUUCCUUCCCAAAGCUGAGGAUGGUUUGAAACAAGCCAACAAUGAGCGGGACAAGAUUUAUCCUUGGGCCAUUCACCC
rnacentral:lncRNA from 1 species